rnacentral:rRNA from 1 species
AACGAACGCUGGCGGCAGGCCUAAUACAUGCAAGUCGAACGCUCCAGCAAUGGAGAGUGGCAGACGGGUGAGUAACGCGUGGGAACCUUCCCAGUGGUACGGAAUAGCUCAGGGAAACUUGAGGUAAUACCGUAUACGCCCUUCGGGGGAAAGAUUUAUCGCCAUUGGAUGGGCCCGCGUCGGAUUAGCUAGUUGGUGGGGUAACGGCCUACCAAGGCGACGAUCCGUAGCUGGUCUGAGAGGAUGAUCAGCCACACUGGGACUGAGACACGGCCCAGACUCCUACGGGAGGCAGCAGUAGGGAAUAUUGGACAAUGGGCGAAAGCCUGAUCCAGCCAUGCCGCGUGAGUGACGAAGGCCUUCGGGUUGUAAAGCUCUUUUGGCGGGGACGAUAAUGACGGUACCCGCAGAAUAAGCUCCGGCUAACUUCGUGCCAGCCGCCGCCGUAACAC